GACGAACGCUGGCGGCGUGCUUAACACAUGCAAGUCGAACGAAGUGGCGAACGGGUGAGUAACGCGUAAUAAACCUGCCCUUCAGCGGGGGACAACAGUUGGAAACGACUGCUAAUACCGCAUACUGAAGGAGGGGAUUGCGUGUGAUUAGCUAGUUGGAGGGGUAACGGCCCACGAAGGGGAGGGACAGUAGCCGGGUUGGGAGGAGUAACGGCCAACUGGGGACUGGGACAAUGGCCAGGACUCUACGGGGGGCAGCAGUGGGGAAUCUUCCGAAAUGGACGAAAGGCUGGAGGAGCAACGCCGCGGGGGGGAUGGCGGCCUUCGGGGUGUAAAACUCUUUUAAGCGGGAAGCGGUACCGGAAGAGAAAGCCACGGCUAACUACGUGCCAGCAGCCGCGGUAAUAC
rnacentral:rRNA from 1 species